CGUCACAAGGCGGCGCCGCUCUCCCGUGUUUUGGAUUCAACAGCAGAGAAAAGCUCCUGCUGAAGCGACUGAUCUCCACACUGUUAACAAGAUGGCGUUUAUUAAAGAGGAGAGUGAAGAUGUGAAGAUUGAAGAAACAUUCACGGUCAAACGUGAAGAUCCAGAGGAACAAACAGGGCUGAAAGAAGAGUGUCAAGAACUGGAUGAAAUAGAAGAGAAAGAUCAAUGUGAGAAACACCAUGAUUUAAAGAUGGAAGCAAA